rnacentral:rRNA from 1 species
GAUGAACGCUGGCGGCGUGCUUAACACAUGCAAGUCGAACGGGAUCCCAGGAGCUUGCUCCUGGGUGAGAGUGGCGAACGGGUGAGUAAUGCGUGACCGACCUGCCCCAUACACCGGAAUAGCUCCUGGAAACGGGUGGUAAUGCCGGAUGCUCCAGUUGGAUGCAUGUCCUUCUGGGAAAGAUUCAUCGGUAUGGGAUGGGGUCGCGUCCUAUCAGCUUGAUGGCGGGGUAACGGCCCACCAUGGCUUCGACGGGUAGCCGGCCUGAGAGGGCGACCGGCCACAUUGGGACUGAGAUACGGCCCAGACUCCUACGGGAGGCAGCAGUGGGGAAUAUUGCACAAUGGGCGCAAGCCCGAUGCAGCGACGCCGCGUGCGGGAUGACGGCCUUCGGGUUGUAAACCGCUUUUGACUGGGAGCAAGCCCUUCGGGGUGAGUGUACCUUUCGAAUAAGCAC